rnacentral:lncRNA from 1 species
UGAAUCUUGUCAGGGUUGUAACUUCAUUGGCAUCUGUAAAUAUAUAAACUCUCACAAGUAAUACAUAGUUCUGUGUUAACAUAUUUAUGGAAUGUGCAAGGUGCACAAAUUAGUUAAUGAAGAUUCUUUGUUCUUGUUUGAGCAGAUGAAAGACAUUAGUCUUUCUUUAUAAGUUGGCAUGAUAGUCCUGAGGACUUUGUAGCCAAAGGAUUAUUGGCUAAGCAAGCCGAAGUUCUGGCUGGAGACGUUUUUAUGUCUUAGCCAAUCUCAGAGCUGUUUGCAUAUGGAGGGAUCAGCAAAUUAUGUUACCCGUCCUGUUUGAUUUUCUUGAUUUCUUUCUUCCUGUCUGCAGCCAAGAUCUUCAGGAAUGCUCCCUGGUCAUAUCUGAUUAUUAUCAAUUUGGAUGGAAUCCAUAGUUUUUCUUCUACUCUGGAGACAUGGGCAUACCCUCUUUUUUCCCCUCCAUUUAUUUAUUUAUUUAUUUAUUUAUUUAUUUAUUUAUUUAUUUAUUUAUUUAUUCACUCACUCACUUAUUAUUGCAUUUAUUGAUUGGUUUUUCGAGACAGGGUUUCUCUGUAUAGCCCUGGCUGCCCUGGAACUCACUUUGUAGACCAUGCUGGCCUCGAACUCAGAAAUAUGCCUGCCUCUGCCUCCUGAGUGCUGGAAUUAAAGUGUGCCACCACGCCUGGCUCUUACCCUCCAUUUAGAUGUUAAGACAUCCCUAAUAUAUACAGGCUGAUUUAGUUCAGUUUUUCCUCAUAGUUCAUUGUCUCUAAGCAGUUGAUUUUAUUCAUUAGCAUUCAAGAGUUUUUAAGGUCAAUAAAGCAUUAUGUAAUUUAUUAUUGAAGGUCUUUGUUACCCCUUUGUUUGUUAAGCAUUUCUUUUAAAGUAUGAUUGGAUCUCUGUACAACUGCUUGUCCCAUAGAAUUAUGUGGUAUAUCUGUAAUAUGCUUUAUAUUGAAAUAUGUAAAAAAUGUUUCAUUUUACUAGGGACACAUGCUAGAGCAUUGUCAAUCUUAAUUUGUACAGGUAUUCCCAUAAUUGCCAUACCGUCUAGUAGAUGUGUAAUUACCAAAUCAGCCUUUUCAGAAGUUAAAGCAGUUGCCCAUUGAAAUCUUGAAUAUUUAUCUAUGGUAUGGUGCACAUAUUUUAAUUUUGCAAGCUCUGCAAAAUAAAAUAUAUCCAUUUGCCAAAUUUUAUUUCUCUGGGUACCUUUUAGGUUACUCCCAGCAGGUAAUGAAGUGGUUAUAUAAAGAACAAGUAUAGGACAUUUUUUUAUAUAUAUAAUUUCCUUGACUAGUUGCUAAAUGAUAGAAAACCUUUGUUGUUCACAUGGUAGUUUUUAAUGAAAUACUGAGGCUUCUAGUACAUUUCUUAUUAAUAGUUGAUCAGUUUUAGCAUUACCUUGUGCUAGAAGACCUGGUAGACCCAUAUGGGAUCUGAUAGUGUUACACACAGUGGAUGAUUUCCAUUUCUGAUUACUUGUUGUAUUUGAAAUUAAUUCUGAAUCAUCCUGAAUUAAUUCAGCAGGUUUUAUAUACAGACAACUCUUUCUGCAUAUUGAGACUUAGUAACUAACUAUAUUAAGAGACUCUGAAAAGUCUAAUAAUACUGUAAGAAUUGUGUAUAACUCUGAUUUUUUUAACUGGAUCAUAAGGACUCUCAACCACUUUACUAUUUUUUUCCUGAUUUAUAACCUACAUUUUCAGAUUUUUUUUGCAUCAAUAGAGAAUGUAGGGCCUCUAGAAAUUGGUGUUUCUUUUAUUAUACAAGGGAGAAUCCAAUUAGUUUUUAUAAAUUGAAGUCUCUUGCUUUUGGGUAUUUGUUGUUAAUAUCCUCCCCCACAUUACUUCAAACUCUUUGCCAAUGUUCAUCUUGUGCCCAUAAUGAGGUAAUAUCAAUAUUAUUAGUAAAACGUAUCAAAAUCUCAGAUGCUUUUAUUCCAGCUAAUUGACAAAGUCUCGUUUUUCCUUUUAGAAUAAAUGCAGAAACCUUUUCUAUAUGUUUUUAAUUUUUUAUUCCAUUUGUGAGCUAAUAAUAUCCAUUCUAAGAUAUAAUUGCUCUGCAUAAGAAUUCCUAUGGGAGGGCGGUGGUGGUGCACGCCUUUAAUCCCAGCACUUGGGAGGCAGAGGCAGGUGGAUUUCUGAGUUCGAGGCCAGCCUGGUCUACAAAAGUGAGUUCCAGGACAGCCAGGACGAUACAGAGAAAUCCUGUCUCAACCCCCUCCCCCCCCAAAAAAAAAUCCAAAAAAUCC